ACCAGACUUGUUGCAAGGUUGUUCCAACAAGUCCAAUACAGUGAUGAUAUCACGUGACAGCAGUCCGCUGUGCGCAACCAAUAUAACAAUAUUGUUACGUCAACCUUGUGUCGUCAACCUUGUAACAUUCUUGUUAUAUCAUGACUGUAUCAGACUUGUUAGAACAACCUUGUAACAAGUCGGAU